GUGCACCAGGCGAGAAACCUCCGCAAUGCUCGAAAGAGCGACGGGGGGACUCCAAGUGCCUACGCUCAGCGUAGGCUGUUCCCGAGCCUAAAAAGCUCGGGGAGUAAGGGCUGGGUAAGACGGGUGCCAGCCGCCGCGGUAAUACCCGCAGCCCGAGUGGUGGCCGCUAUUAUUGGGCCUAAAGCGUCCGUAGCCGGCUCGGUAAAUGCCUGGGUAAAUCGUCUGGCCCAACCAGACGAAUUCCGGGUAGACUGCCGGGCUAGGGACCGGAGGAGGGAGAGGGUACUCCAGGGGUAGGGGUGAAAUCAGCAAGGUGAGUUGCUGAUGUAACUUGCCUUGCAAGUCACAAUCCUGUAAUCCCUGGAGGACCACCGGUGGCGAAGGCGCUCUCCUAGGACGGUCCGACGGUGAGGGACGAAAGCCAGGGGAGCAAACCGGAUUA
rnacentral:rRNA from 1 species